rnacentral:lncRNA from 1 species
GUUCCGUGUGGAUUUAUGAAGUGGUCACAUCUCCCCUUCCAGAUAAAGCUUGGCAGAGACUCGGCCACCCAGGGUCACAUUUCCUCUGCAGCCAAGCGCAGAGGGAAGAUUCUCCAAUGUGGGUGUGCAAAUAGGACCACCAGUGGGGAGCAGAGGCCGCUUUUCCAGACCAAGAGGAGUCUAGACUAUCACUCACACAUUCCCUGGUCAUCUGGGGCCGCCAGAAUUCUGAGAGUGCUUCAGUGGUCUGAAGCAGUGGAUGCAGAGAUUCUGAAACUGGGCAGAGGUUCCAGAAGACAAGUCAUUUUUCUAGACCUCCCAUAGACGCCAUCGUUGAUCAAGCCAUUUUCAUUUUCACGAAGUAUUUUAUUAUGGAACUCCUAAAGACCAUCAGCCCUACCUGGCACUGGCUUUCUGGUUGAAAAGCAGCAUUGUGGAGCCUGAAACAUCAUCAGAGGCAACUGCUUCCCCUCCCUGUGGAUUUAGGACCGCUAUGUGCAGAGGUCUGUAUUAGAGAGCCAGCUAGAGUAGCCAGCAGUGACAUAACUAUGUAGGGAGAAGACACAGUUGUCACCUUGACCCCACUGGAUACAGAAAUGUCAAUGGAAAAACAAAUUCUGCAUCUGCUGAAUUGUUCUGUCAAUGCUUGCACUUUCUUGUCAUUUACUAUAUAGAAAGAAUUAUUAGUAUCUUUUAUUUGUCAGUUAUUGAUCCACCUUUUUUUUUUUUUUUUUUUUGGUGGCAGUUCUCCUGUUUGUUAGUUUGCUGUCCCAGUUGAAUUCUGAGUUUCCGGGAAUCCCUAGUGCAAUGAGAAAUGAUGGAGAACCAAUUCUCAUUAUCUGAUGAAGGAAAGAGCCAUGUACCUACAACAGCAAAGGCUCAGACAAGCCUUCUCCUGCCUUGGGUUCAUGGUCACGUGCUGUAGGUGUCUUGUCUUCCCAUGUGCACCUGUCUGCAUCCUCAUGGUGCAUCCUCAGGAUGUCCCGUACAGUGUCUUACCUAUGGUUAUGCUUUUAUAACAAUGUGCUAAUAAAAGCAUGGAUUACAAAACAAAACAGAAGAUAUGGGUUUCCUUGUUGAUUUAGAUAUGCCCAAGCUUUCUGGGUUGGAAGACUGUAGUGUCUGGACUGUCUGGAGUCAAAGCAGUGUUGAAUCUAUAACAGCAAGAAACUAUUUCAGCAGAGCCAGAUGUCAGGUUCUGGGCUGAGCUUUGAUGGAAACUAAAGACAGGACAAGAGGAGUUUGCUUCCCAUGCAGAGGAGGCUGGAAUAUUGUACGUGAGUGAAGUGAUGAGCUUUAAAGAUUCAUCCGUGCUGUUAGCCCACUGUAUCAAAUGCUGGAUUCUUUCAUUUUGACUUUUUAAGUUUCUUUUUAGUGGUAGUUGGGAGUGGAGGUGGCUAGUGAGAAGAGAAAGACUUUUUCCUUUUUGAGCACCUCUUUGGACCAUUUACAUUCAUUGACAGCUCAGAAGAAUCCAACAGUUCCUGGAGUUUGGCAACAUUUCAUGGUGGAGAGAAAAGCAUCCCAAGGAUCUGUACAUAAAUAGCUGGUGCACAUCGGUCUCAGGUGUAAACAGAAGGAAGUCCAAGGAAGCCAAGUGGGAAGAUCCUUGCUGGUUUCUCCCUCUGAGGAAGAAGGAAAAUGCCAUGACUCCCACUAUGGCCUCUCUUGGAACCAUAUUUUGAGGUUCAUCUCAAAGAUCUCUCUUUGCAUAAUGUGUGUGUGGACCUGCCUACAGAUACAUUGGGUGGAAGCCCUAGGAGCCUCAAGCAAGUCUGAAGAUUGGCCCUGAGAACCACUGUUCUCAUUAUCAGCAAGGAUUUUAUCCAGAGACCUCUAGGAAUACAUUCACUAAAAUGUGACUGUGGUCCUGUGGUUGUAUGAACUCUGGCUCUUCUCGUGAAUUACAUUUCACUGGAGUCAGGUGUUUUCUGUAAACAUCGUUAAACCACGAGACCAACUGCAUUGAACAUUUUUUGCACUACAUUGUUUUAUUUCUUGCUCGUCUUUUCCUUGCAGAGCUGGGGCUGGGGUGAGGUGUGUGGUGUACCUAGCACUCAAAAUGUAAGGAUUCUCAGAGUCAUACAGGUGCACGGUCAGCACCUGAGAGUGAGCCACCCUUUAACAUUUUGCCUUCUAGGUGCUUCACUUGCCUUGCCCAAGCACUAGCCCUAGAUUAAAUAAUAUGUUUCUAUUAGUUUUUUAAAAUUAUAAUAUUAACAAUAACUAGCACUUAUUGAGCACUCCCUUAUGUGCCAGCAAAUGUGACUUACAUGUAUCUGCUUAUUUUUCCUUACAUGAAACCCUCUGAAGUAGAUACAAUGGGUAUCAU